rnacentral:rRNA from 1 species
AGGGUUUGAUCAUGGCUCAGAUUGAACGCUGGCGGCAGGCUUAACACAUGCAAGUCGAGCGGAAACGAUGAUAGCUUGCUAUCAGGCGUCGAGCGGCGGACGGGUGAGUAAUACUUAGGAAUCUACCUAGUAGUGGGGGAUAGCUCGGGGAAACUCGAAUUAAUACCGCAUACGUCCUACGGGAGAAAGCAGGGGAUCAUUAGACCUUGCGCUAUUAGAUGAGCCUAAGUCGGAUUAGCUAGAUGGUGGGGUAAAGGCCUACCAUGGCGACGAUCUGUAGCUGGUCUGAGAGGAUGAUCAGCCACACCGGGACUGAGACACGGCCCGGACUCCUACGGGAGGCAGCAGUGGGGAAUAUUGGACAAUGGGGGGAACCCUGAUCCAGCCAUGCCGCGUGUGUGAAGAAGGCCUUUUGGUUGUAAAGCACUUUAAGCAGUGAAGAAGACUCUUCGGUUAAUACCCGGGGACGAUGACAUUAGCUGCAGAAUAAGCACCGGCUAACUCUGUGCCAGCAGCCGCGGUAAUACAGAGGGUGCAAGCGUUAAUCGGAAUUACUGGGCGUAAAGCGAGCGUAGGUGGCUUGAUAAGUCAGAUGUGAAAUCCCCGGGCUUAACCUGGGAACUGCAUCUGAAACUGUUAGGCUAGAGUAGGUGAGAGGGAAGUAGAAUUUCAGGUGUAGCGGUGAAAUGCGUAGAGAUCUGAAGGAAUACCGAUGGCGAAGGCAGCUUCCUGGCAUCAUACUGACACUGAGGCUCGAAAGCGUGGGUAGCAAACAGGAUUAGAUACCCUGCUAGUCCACGCCGUAAACGAUGUCUACUAGUCGUUGGGUCCCUUGAGGACUUAGUGACGCAGCUAACGCAAUAAGUAGACCGCCUGGGGAGUACGGCCGCAAGGUUAAAACUCAAAUGAAUUGACGGGGGGCGCC